rnacentral:misc_RNA from 1 species
UCUCCGUAGGUGAACCUGCGGAGGGAUCAUUACAGAGUUCAUGCCCUACCGGGUAGAUCUCCCACCCUAUGUUAUUAUUACUUUGUUGCUUUGGCGGGCCGUUAGGCUCCGGCCCGACUACCGGCCCCGGCUGGUAAGCGCCCGCCAGAGGACCCAAAACCCUGAAUAUUAGUGUCGUCUGAGUACUAUAUAAUAGUUGAAACUUUCAACAACGGAUCUCUUAGUUCUG